rnacentral:rRNA from 1 species
UACGAAGGGUGCAAGCGUUAAUCGGAAUUACUGGGCGUAAAGGGUGCGUAGGCGGUUGUUUAAGUCUGUCGUGAAAUCCCCGGGCUCAACCUGGGAAUGGCGAUGGAUACUGGACAGCUAGAGUGUGUCAGAGGAUGGUGGAAUUCCCGGUGUAGCGGUGAAAUGCGUAGAGAUCGGGAGGAACAUCAGUGGCGAAGGCGGCCAUCUGGGACAACACUGACGCUGAGGAGCGAAAGCCAGGGGAGCAAAGCGGG